AGUGAACGCUGGCGGUAGGCCUAACACAUGCAAGUCGAACGGCAGCACAGUAAGAGCUUGCUCUUACGGGUGGCGAGUGGCGGACGGGUGAGGAAUACAUCGGAAUCUACUUUUUCGUGGGGGAUAACGUAGGGAAACUUACGCUAAUACCGCAUACGACCUACGGGUGAAAGCAGGGGAUCUUCGGACCUUGCGCGAUUGAAUGAGCCGAUGUCGGAUUAGCUAGUUGGCGGGGUAAAGGCCCACCAAGGCGACGAUCCGUAGCUGGUCUGAGAGGAUGAUCAGCCACACUGGAACUGAGACACGGUCCAGACUCCUACGGGAGGCAGCAGUGGGGAAUAUGGGACAAUGGGCGCAAGCCUGAUCCAGCCAUACCGCGUGGGUGAAGAAGGCCUUCGGGUUGUAAAGCCCUUUUGUUGGGAAAGAAAAGCAGCAGGUUAAUACCCCGCUGUUCUGACGGUACCCAAAGAAUAAGCACCGGCGAACUUCG
rnacentral:rRNA from 1 species